GAUGAACGCUGGCGGCGUGCCUAAUACAUGCAAGUCGAUCGAAGCGGGGACGGGUGAGUAACACGUGGAUAACCUCCUAUAAGACUGGGAUAACUUCGGGAAACCGGAACUAAACCGGAUACUUAUAGAUGGAUUCGCGCUGGAUUAGCUAGUUGGUAAGGUAACGGCUUACCAAGGCAACAGUGCAUUGCCGACCUGGGAGGGGGAUGUGCCACACUGGAGCUUGGAAACGGUCCAGGCUCCUACGGGAGGCAGCAGUAGGGAAUCUUCCGCAAUUGGCGAAAGUCUGACGGAGCAACGCCGCGUGAGUGAGGACGGCCUUCGGGUUGUAAAGCUCUGUUAAUCGGGACGCGGUACCGGAAUAGAAAGCCACGGCUAACUACGUGCCAGCAGCCGCGGUAAUAC
rnacentral:rRNA from 1 species